rnacentral:rRNA from 1 species
UACGAGGGGUGCUAGCGUUGUCCGGAAUCAUUGGGCGUAAAGGGUCCGUAGGUGUCUUUGAAAGUCUUUUGUUACAUCCAUCGGCUUAACCGGUGGCCUGCAAUCGAAACUUCAAGGAUAGAGUUCGAGAGAGGAAAGUGGAAUUCCUGGUGUAGCGGUGACAUGCGUAGAUAUCAGGAGGAACACCAAUGGCGAAGGCAGCUUUCUGGCUCGAUACUGACGCUGAGGGACGAAAGCGUGGGGAGCGAAC